UCUACGGGAGGCAGCAGUAGGGAAUCUUCCGCAAUGGGCGAAAGCCUGACGGAGCAACGCCGCGUGAGUGAUGAAGGUCUUAGGAUCGUAAAACUCUGUUGUUAGGGAAGAACAAAUUUGUUAGUAACUGAACAAGUCUUGACGGUACCUAACCAGAAAGCCACGGCUAACUACGUGCCAGCAGCCGCGGUAAUA
rnacentral:rRNA from 2 species